rnacentral:rRNA from 1 species
UUCAUAAAUAUUGAAGUUAACUUUUAAGUGAAAAGGCUUAAAUAAUUUGGGGGGACGAUAAGACCCUAUAAAUCUUAACAUUUCUACUAUUAAAUGUACUUAGAGUGUAGUUGAUGUAUGUUUAUUGGGGUAGUGUUUUACUGGGGCGGUAUAAAUAAAAUUAGUAACUGUUUAUAUUAAUUACAGUAAUAUCUGAACAUUUGUAGAUCCUUAAUUAAAGAUCAAAAGGUUAAGUUACUUUAGGGAUAACAGCGUUAUUUCUUUUAAGAGUUCAUAUCUAAAAAGAAGUUUGCGACCUCGAU